rnacentral:rRNA from 1 species
GGGCUUAGUGGUGGGGUGACUGCGUACCUUUUGUAUAAUGGGUCAGCGACUUAUAUUCUGUAGCAAGGUUAACCGAAUAGGGGAGCCGGAGGGAAACCGAGUCUUAAUUGGGCGUUAAGUUGCAGGGUAUAGACCCGAAACCCGGUGAUCUAGCCAUGGGCAGGUUGAAGGUUGGGUAACACUAACUGGAGGACCGAACCGACUAAUGUUGAAAAAUUAGCGGAUGACCUGUGGCUGGGGGUGAAAGGCCAAUCAAACCGGGAGAUAGCUGGUUCUCCCCGAAAGCUAUUUAGGUAGCGCCUCGUGAAUUCAUCUCCGGGGGUAGAGCACUGUUUCGGCUAGGGGGCCAUCCCGGCUUACCAACCCGAUGCAAACUGCGAAUACCGGAGAAUGUUAUCACGGGAGACACACGGCGGGUGCUAACGUCCGUCGUGAAGAGGGAAACAACCCAGACCGCCAGCUAAGGUCCCAAAGUCAUGGUUAAGUGGGAAACGAUGUGGGAAGGCCCAGACAGCCAGGAUGUUGGCUUAGAAGCAGCCAUCAUUUAAAGAAAGCGUAAUAGCUCACUGGUCGAGUCGGCCUGCGCGGAAGAUGUAACGGGGCUAAACCAUGCACCGAAGCUGCGGCAGCGAACGUAUCACUUAAAGUGAUUCAGCGGGUUACGAUUGACGGAGCGAAGCGACGUCAAAG